GCUGUUAAGGGUUCGUAGUUGAAUUGUGGGUUUGUUGGAUGUUGAUACUGUCCUCUUCACCCGAAGCAGGGCACUCACGCCACAAUCCCGAGAACAACAGAAACAAGUACCACGGGAACGCUUUCCUCGAUUCGCGGACAAUGCCCGCAGAGGAACGCCCGUGUUCAUUACUGUGACUAAAAAGUGCGACCAAAGCAGUCCAACGACAUGAAUUAGAAAGCAUGGGAUAACAAAGGGCAGCCUAUUGGCUACCGUUUCGGCUCUUGUUGGUAUUGACAGUCUAUAGGAGACUAUGGCGGCGAUGACCGGUGAAGGGAUUUUCCCAACAUCUCCUGCUGCUUCGGUAUCAGGCUUCGCCGUUCGGAAUGAAGGAGGGUUGGCUCGGGGGAAAACGUACUUGAGUGUGAGAGGUGAAUUCUUAGACCACUCAAAGACGAACUACAGCGAAGGCAUUUUCCAAGGAUACCUUCCUCAUCGAGAACCAAAGUGUGGAGAUCGAAGAUGAUUAGAGACCAUUUGUAGUCC
rnacentral:rRNA from 1 species